rnacentral:rRNA from 1 species
AUUGAACGCUGGCGGCAUGCCUUACACAUGCAAGUCGAACGGCAGCACGGGAGCAAUCCUGGUGGCGAGUGGCGAACGGGUGAGUAAAGUAUCGGAACGUGCCCAGUCGUGGGGGAUAACGUAGCGAAAGUUACGCUAAUACCGCAUACGAUCUAUGGAUGAAAGCGGGGGAUCGCAAGACCUCGCGCGAUUGGAGCGGCCGAUGUCCGAUUAGCUAGUUGGUAAGGUAAAGGCCUACCAAGGCGACGAUCGGUAGCGGGUCUGAGAGGACGGCCCGCCACACUGGGACUGAGACACGGCCCAGACUCCUACGGGAGGCAGCAGUGGGGAAUUUUGGACAAUGGGGGCAACCCUGAUCCAGCCAUUCCGCGUGAGUGAAGAAGGCCUUCGGGUUGUAAAGCUCUUUCGGCAGGAACGAAACGGCUCUCUCUAACAUAGGGGGCUAAUGACGGUACCUGAAGAAGAAGCACCGGCUAACUACGUGCCAGCCGCCGCCGUAAAAC